AACGAACGCUGGCGGCGCGCUUAACACAUGCAAGUCGAACGAGAAGGCGUAGCAAUACGCUUGUAAAGUGGCGAACGGGUGAAGAAUACAUGGGUGACCUACCCUCGAGUGGGGAAUAACCCGCCGAAAGGCGGGCUAAUGCCGCGUACGCCUCCAUUCUCACGGGGAUGGAAGGAAAGCUGCACCGUGGGUGCGGCGCUCAAGGAUGGGCUCAUGUCCUAUCAGCNGUUGGCGGGGUAACGGCCCACCAAGGCUCCGACGGGUAGCUGGUCUGAGAGGACGAUCAGCCACACUGGCACUGCGACACGGGCCAGACUCCUACGGGAGGCAGCAGUGAGGAAUAUUGCGCAAUGGGCGACAGCCUGACGCAGCGACGCCGCGUGGGGGA
rnacentral:rRNA from 1 species